GUUAAAACCUAAGAAAAACACGUUAGCCUAGUCCUACAAAUGGUCAGGAUUAUCGAUAUCACUGUCUUCCAUCUCCACAUCUUGCCUCACUAGAAGGCAUC